UAAUCAAUCUGAUGUUCUCCCUCUAGCUUUUUUGCUCUGCCUUUUCUCCUCUCUUUUCCCUAGCUGAUUCAUCUCGUUCUCACUGAUUUCCUUCUCUAAUUCUUGUUUGUCUCUUCGCCAUUCAGCUAAAUCAUGCUUUUUCUAUUUUUAUGGCUGACCCAUCCCUUCUCUUGGAGGAAAUCUUCGUUAUUAGCCAUGCUAGGGCUUCUUUAUCUGAUUUGGG
rnacentral:lncRNA from 1 species